GCCAGGCAUGGUGGCGGGUGCCUGUAGUCCCAGCUAUUCGGGAGGCUGAGGCAGGAGAAUGGCGUGAACCCUGGAGGCGGAGCUUGCAGUGAGCCGAGAUUGCGUCACUGCACUCCAGCCUGAGUAACAGAGCGAGACUCCAUCUCAAAAAAAAAAAAAAAAAAAAAAAAAAAAAAAAAAGGUGCAAUAAGUAGAGGAAGGAAAUACUUGAUUUUUAUUUAUUUGAGACAAGAGUCUCGCUCUGUCGCCCAAGCUGAAGUCGCCCAGGCUGGAGUGCAGUGGCCUGAUCUUGGCUUACUGCUAGCUCCGCCUCCCGAGUUCACACCAUUCUCCUGCCUCA
rnacentral:sRNA from 1 species